GCAUAUCAAUAAGCGGAGGAAAAGAAACCAACAGGGAUUGCCCUAGUAACGGCGAGUGAAGCGGCAACAGCUCAAAUUUGAAAUCUGGCUCUUUUAGAGUCCGAGUUGUAAUUUGCAGAGGGCGCUUUGGCUUUGGCAGCGGUCCAAGUUCCUUGGAACAGGACGUCACAGAGGGUGAGAAUCCCGUACGUGGUCGCUGGCUAUUGCCGUGUAAAGCCCCUUCGACGAGUCGAGUUGUUUGGGAAUGCAGCUCUAAAUGGGAGGUACAUUUCUUCUAAAGCUAAAUAUUGGCCAGAGACCGAUAGCGCACAAGUAGAGUGAUCGAAAGAUGAAAAGCACUUUGGAAAGAGAGUCAAACAGCACGUGAAAUUGUUGAAAGGGAAGCGCUUGCAGCCAGACUUGCUUACAGUUGCUCAUCCGGGUUUCUACCCGGUGCACUCUUCUGUAGGCAGGCCAGCAUCAGUUUGGGCGGUAGGAUAAAGGUCUCUGUCACGUACCUCCUUUCGGGGAGGCCUUAUAGGGGAGACGACAUACUACCAGCCUGGACUGAGGUCCGCGCAUCUGCUAGGAUGCUGGCGUAAUGGCUGUAAGCGGCCCGUCUUGAAACACGGACCAAGGAGUCUAACAUCUAUGCGAGUGUUUGGGUGUCAAGCCCGAGCGCGUAAUGAAAGUGAACGGAGGUGGGAACCCGCAAGGGUGCACCAUCGACCGAUCCUGAUGUCUUCGGAAGGAUUUGAGUAAGAGCAUGGCUGUUGGGACCCGAAAGAUGGUGAACUAUGCUUGAAUAGGGUGAAGCCAGAGGAAACUCUGGUGGAGGCUCGCAGCGGUUCUGACGUGCAAAUCGAUCGUCAAAUUUGGGCAUAGGGGCGAAAGACUAAUCGAACUAUCUAGUAGCUGGUUCCUGCCGAA
rnacentral:rRNA from 1 species